GGGGAAUUUUCCGCAAUGGGCGAAAGCCUGACGGAGCAAUACCGCGUGAGGGAGGAAUGCCUUUGGGUUGUAAACCUCUUUUCUCAGGGAAGAAGAUCUGACGGUACCUGAGGAAUAAGUGUCGGCUAACUCCGUGCCAGCAGCCGCGGUAAUACGGAGGAUGCAGGCGUUAUCCGGAAUUAUUGGGCGUAAAGCGUCCGCAGGUGGUUUCCAAAGUCUGCUGUUAAAGACUGGAGCUCAACUCCGGAACGGCGGUGGAAACUUGGAAACUAGAGUUCGGUAGGGGUAGCAGGAAUUCCCAGUGUAGCGGUGAAAUGCGUAGAUAUUGGGAAGAACAUCGGUGGCGAAGGCGUGCUACUGGACCGUAACUGACACUCAGGGACGAAAGCUAGGGGAGCGAAAGGGAUUAGAUACCCCUGUAGUCCUAGCUGUAAACGAUGGAAACUAGGUGUGGCUUG
rnacentral:rRNA from 1 species